CAGAGGUCUCAACCGUUGUUCGGAUUUAUUGGGCGUAAAGGGUGCGUAGGCGGCGGGGCAAGUCAGGUGUGAAAUCUCGGGGCUCAACCCCGAAACUGCACUUGAUACUGCCUUGCUCGAGUACUGGAGAGGAGACUGGAAUUUACGGUGUAGCAGUGAAAUGCGUAGAUAUCGUAAGGAAGACCAGUGGCGAAGGCGAGUCUCUGGACAGUUACUGACGCUGAGGCACGAAGGCCAGGGGAGCAAACGGGAUUAGAUACCCCGGUAGUCCUGGCAGUAAACGGUGCACGUUUGGUGUGGGAGGAUUCGACCCCUUCCGUGCCGGAGCUAACGCGUUAAACGUGCCGCCUGGGAAGUACGGUCGCAAGAUUA
rnacentral:rRNA from 1 species